rnacentral:rRNA from 1 species
CUCCUAGACGUUCUGGGCUGCACGCGCACUACACUGACACAGUAAACGAGUUCAUGCUUCGGCAACCUUACUCGAGAGAGUUGGGGAAUCUUUGAAUCUGUGUCGUGCUUGGGAUAGACGAUUGCAACUAUUCUUCUUCAACGAGGAAUGCCUAGUAGGGUUAGUUCAUCAGACCAACCCGAUUAUGUCCCUGCCAUUUGUACACACCGCCCGUCGUUGCUACUUAUGGCUGUAAGACAGAGGCCUCGGGAGGUCUACGCCGAGCGCAAGCGAGGUGCAGGGCCAAACUUGUCCAAUGUCUUGCUGCUAGAGGAAGCAAAANUCGUANCA